rnacentral:pre_miRNA from 1 species
CCUUUCCACAGAGUAGUCGACCUGAGAUGGAGUACAUGUCUUACAUCUUAAAGAACUUUAGUCGUUUGAGAAUACUUGAAGCAAGUUAUUCAGGAAUAAACGAAUUGCCAUCUGCAGUAGGCAACUUAAAACAUUUGCGACAAUUGAAUUUGUCAGGAAAUGGA